GCCGCCGUAGCUCAGUGGUUAGAGCACUGGUCUCGUAAACCAGGGGUCGUGAGUUCUGAACCUCACUGGCGGCU